UUGCUUUUUUAUAGCUGAAAUUAGGGCUAGCACACAGAUAAGCCACCAAGAUGCAAUGUUGGAGUGUUUUGAAGGCAGAUGUCAGUUAAUUUGCACAAGGAAUUAUAAAAAAACAUGUUUUCUGUUGUGAUGAGCUUCUGAGUCAGAGCUGGAAUGUGCAGUGGAAGAAUAUUCAUCUGUGCUUUCCCACAUGGUGCCCUCCUUAACCACAAUUUCUUGCUGAACCACCUAUUAAUAGGCGCUUUACAGUUUUUACAAUUUUCUAUGGUCUGAAAUGGAAACUGUGGUAACAGAUUGCAUUUUCUAAGCCUAGAAUGGCUAGAAUUCCCCAAAGAAUCCCUGUAUGCUUGGGGUUUUCUCCCCUACUUCAUAUGUAUCAUAGACAAUUCACUGAAAUAUCAUACUAUGCACACUAAUUGUACUUCUGGGUUUUAUUUGCCAUUUACAAUGAGCAGCUUGCAGUGUUUAAAAUGGGUGUAACAGGCAGUGCUUUUAUAAGGAGUAACUGAUCCUGUCUCUGUGAAUAUUAACAUAAUGGAUGGUGGUGCCAACUAAAGCUGAUUUCUUCUUCCUCCUUAGUGCUACUCUCUCUGUGGAAGUCAAAACUGCAGUAUUCCUUAAAUAAUCCUGCCAGCCCAGAAACUGAAGACAAUAAAGGCAAAGUAUAGUGGAGCCUUUUGGUACAGUCAGCACUUCUUUCAUUUGCAUACACAGCUUGGAUGCAAGCUAGCAAAGAUAAUCUUUCAGGGAGAACAGGGGGCAUUUUAAAUGUACCCUGGAACACUUUCGCAGUACCUCCCUCCCAGGGACUGAAUUAAUCGUUGUGUAAAAUGCUUCUGAGAAGGAACCAAUUUCCUACCCUAAACCUGUAUGCAAAGGGGACACAAAAGCCUUAACCUCUCUUUUCUUGGAUAUAUUUUAGGAGUUGCUGUUAAUAAGGUUUUAUUCUAGUGAAAAACCUGAAAAUUUUUGCUUCUAGAUGAGGAUCAGACACAAUUAUCAGCCUAGGCUAGUAAUAAAAUAAAAUAUAAUUCUUGAAUUGCAAGUUUCCUAAAGAGGUUUCAGUAUGCUCUGUAAAAUGUUUAAGUUAUAUUUCCCAUAAAUGAAGGUAGUAUGAAAAAAUUCAAUUACUUGCUACAUGAUUCAGAGAAUAUAAGAAGUCAUGGGGAAAAACGUUAAUGUUCACUUUUACAUCUUCAAAUUCUAGGUUUCACUUCUUAAGCUGAAAAAAUAUAUAUCUGGGACUUGUUUUUGGUAUUUAAAAAAUGAGAUCCAUGAGUCAGAAGGUUCCAGAUUCUCCUUGUCCCAAAGAAGGGAUUUUCAUUUCAGUCACUUGUUUUGUUAACACAAUGAUUGGAUAGCAGUGAAACAAACACUAGUGCGGGACUUUUUUCUUUCAGAGAGGAAUACAGGCUUUGCUUAAAAUAAUGUAAGAAACACAUUUGUAUCCGAAGAUGUAUAUCACAGCAUUUCCAAGAAGCAGUCUACUGAAACUUACUUGUUUUUAAUGAGUAAGUAUAAGUACACCUCAAUUAAGGCUUUCUCUGAUACCACAUCAGACUUGCUUGCAUUUAAAUUAUUGGGUCAGCAAGAAAGGACAGUGGAACCUUUUAUUAGCAGCUGACUUCUCUCAAGUCUCAUUUUACGUUUUGGGUUCCUAAGCUACUCAACUGAAAGGAGAUCCUGUUAAAAAAAUGGAGGUGAAUAACAGAGACAACAGAGACAAGGCAGCUGCCAGACGUCAGCUUCCACUAUGUACUUCAAAACUACUGGUAUCCUCACUGAUAUUAUACAGAACCAUAAUGUAGUACCUGUCCUUGUGAAACAGGCAGUCUUUUUAAUUUUCUGGUAAGAGCUUUUAAUGAGAGAAGUCUAGGAUACAGAGUUGAAUAUUUUCUGAAAAGCAGUUUUAGAUGAAGAGGUUGCCCAUCAAGUAAGAACCUAAACUAAAGAAACUAAAUACUCAUUUAAAUUAUAUUUCACCUGCUGAAAUCAUUAUGGUGGUGCUGUUUUCUAAGGAAAUCUAAUAUCUCAACAGUGAAUUUCAUAACACUCUUAUUUUUGUCAGGAAUUCUUCUUAUGUUGGACAGCCUCAUCGCUCGUCUUUACUGGUGGUGUUCUUUGAAAAGCUGCAGGAUGUCUUAAUUUCACUUGAAUUUUGGGGUUGAGGGUUAAUUAGUGUACAAAUGACAAAGACACCAUGUGACCUCUAGAGAAUAUAUAGCCUCUUAUCACAUGCAUCAGCAAGUACAUCUGAGAUGUUUUGGGCUGUUUCUCCCUUGCCUUCUUGGCUGGAGCUCUUCCCAGCUCUUGCUGGACAUACACAGAUAUUUUUGUUGUUCUGGUAACAUGAGAGAAGGUGGUUGAUCAUUAGUAUAUGAUGAAUUAUAGAGCACAUACAGACUAACAGGUCUACUCACUAUAGAAUACUAAAUAAUGAAUGUGGUUGAUAUCUUUUUAAUGAGAAAGUAGAAUAACAGAAAAGGCCUGUUGUUAAAGUUGUGUUUUCUUUGAGAUACAAUAUCAAUGAGCUGCUUGAGAAGCAGAUGACAUACGUAAUUAAUCCCCAGUGUAACUUUACUGGACUCCAUUGAUUUGCAUGAGAUUAAUUUUCUUAAUUCUUUUGGGGAGAGAAAAGUUGAGAAUUACAUAGUAGGAAAGCUGUCUAGUUAUUUUCUUAUGUAUGAAACCUUUUGGUCAGAUUUAGUAGCUCAAGUGCUUUGGGAAGUUGGGAAUGUUAAAGGGAAAUAGAAAGUAGAAUUUAAAUUUAUUAUCAUGGAUUGCAAAUAUUUAAUGACUAUUUUUUCCAAGUUGUAUUAUUAACGACUUGUUUUAUUCAGGUUGUGUGAACAUAAGAAGGAAGCCCUUCCCUUCCUUCAGUAUCCGAGAGCCUUUUGCUUAGAAAUUUUAGCUUGAGAGGCUUGUGUUCUUCCAGAUGGGUAUGAUUUUUCUGUUUUCUUUUUCUCCUAUAUUGAGUCAGAGGGUUAGUGAAGCCAAUUCAUAAGGUAUUUAACCCCUUGUUAGGAAAAGUCACUCAGAGUAAUAGAUGAGAACUGAGAUCUUUCAUUAAGCAUGAUGUGUAACAGAGGUAGGAUUCAAUGACAGAGGACUGGAACAAAUUGAAAUAGCCUUAUUUCAAAAACUUCAGUGAGAUAUUUAAAAUUAAAUACCCAGAAUUAUUAGAAAAAAAUGUAAAAAAGAGAUACAUUGCAAUCAUUAAAACCCUUUUAUCACAAGGCAAAGUGAUUGCACAUCUUGCAAGCAUUAACAAUUCAAACUCAAAUACUACCCUACAGAGUAAGACUUGUGAGAAAUCUAGCAGUGACAUGCAGCAUGAAUUUUAUAUUUGCUGAGUACCACAUGAAUAACCCACUGAUUUCUGUAAGGAAGCUUUUCCCAGAUGGUGUAUGGCAUUUUGGCAGGAGAUGGAUUCCUGUUCUCCCUGCAGUUAAUUAGGUAUGGCCCAAGCACUUACUUAAUCCUGCUUGUGCCACAAGUAUUCACAUAAUCUCACUUCUUGAUCACAAGAAACAUUCAAAUGCUGUAUUAUUUGUGUUAUGAUACAAAGAUGGCCCCACUACAGUGAAGUUACCUUGAAUUUCCUCACAGUUGAGAUGUGAAAAAUAGAAGAUAUCCCAGCAGGAAAGAGCUGAGAGGAAGAGUAGAGGAGUCACAGCAGGAAUGCAGUAGUACAGCUAAGUUGGUUCAAGUAGUUUUUGGAACUUGCACAGUUUUGUUUCUGCUUCAUCAGAAGACACAAACUACUGUUGUAAUGCGAGACUUUAAAAAAAAAAAAAAAA
rnacentral:lncRNA from 1 species